rnacentral:rRNA from 1 species
UGGGGAAUCUUCGGCAAUGGACGAAAGUCUGACCGAGCAACGCCGCGUGAGUGAAGAAGGUUUUCGGAUCGUAAAACUCUGUUGUUAGAGAAGAACAAGGACGUUAGUAACUGAACGUCCCCUGACGGUAUCUCACCAGAAAGCCACGGCGAACUACGUGCCAGCAGCCGCGGUAAUACGUAGGUGGCAAGCGUUGUCCGGAUUUAUUGGGCGUAAAGCGUGCGCAGGUGGUUUCAUAAGUCUGAUGUGAAAGGCUCCGGCUUAACCGUGAAGGGGCAUUGGAAACUGUGAGACUAGAGUACAGAAGAGGUGGAUGGAAUUUCCUGUGUAGCGGUGAAAUGCGUAGAUAUUUGGAGGAACACCAGUGGCGAAGGCGGCUCUCUGGUCUGUAACUGACGCUGAGGCUCGAAAGCGUGGGGAGCAAAUAGG